rnacentral:tRNA from 1 species
UCCCUAAUGUCUCAGAUGGUAAAGAGUCCGCCUGCAAAGUGGGAGACUCGGGUUCAAUCCCUGGGUUGAGAA